rnacentral:rRNA from 1 species
UUCCAGACUCCUACGGGAGGCAGCAGUGGGGGAUAUUGCACAAUGGGGGGAACCCUGAUGCAGCGACGCCGCGUGGGUGAAGAAGUAUUUCGGUAUGUAAAGCCCUAUCGGCAGGGAAGAAAUUGGACGGUACCUGACUAAGAAGCCCCGGCUAACUACGUGCCAGCAGACGCGGGAAUACGUAGGGGGCAAGCGUUAUCCGGAUUCACUGGGUGUAAAGGGAGCGUAGACGGCCAUGCAAGCCUGGAGUGAAAGCCCGGGGCCCAACCCCGGGACUGCUCUGGGAACUGUGCGGCUGGAGUGCGGGAGGGGCAGGCGGAAUUCCUGGUGUAGCGGUGAAAUGCGUAGAUAUCAGGAGGAACACCGGCGGCGAAGGCGGCCUGCUGGACCGCGACUGACGUUGAGGCUCGAAAGCGUGGGGAGCAAACAGGAUUAGAUACCCCUGUAU